AGAGAGAGACAUGCGCGCAUAUCAAUAAGCGGAGGAAAAGAAACUAACAAGGAUUCCCUUAGUAACGGCGAGUGAAGCGGGAAGAGCUCAAAUUUGAAAUCUUCAAGGUUUUACCUUGACGAAUUGUAGUUUAAAGAAGUGUUUUCUGCUGAAGUUUUGGUAAAAGUUCUUUGGAAUAGGACAUCAUAGAGGGUGAGAAUCCCGUAUUUGACCAUUAUUUUCAGCUUUGUGAUACACUUUCAAAGAGUCGGAUUGUUUGGGAAUGCAGUCCAAAAUGGGUGGUAAAUUUCAUCUAAAGCUAAAUAUUGGCGAGAGACCGAUAGCGAACAAGUACCGUGAGGGAAAGAUGAAAAGAACUUUGAAAAGAGAGUUAAACAGUACGUGAAAUUGUCAAAAGGGAAGCGUUUGACACCAGUGUUGUUUUUCUCGAAAAUCAAUUAAAAAUGGCUCGAUUUUGUAUUGCUUGAGACCUUAAAAGCUCACUGUACAUUUUUCGUGUCUUUUUUAAUGCACUUUUCGUUUAACAAGUCAACAUCAGUUUCUUUUGUUGUAAAAGGGUCAUUGGAAGGUGGCUUUCUUUUCGGAGAAAGUGUUUAUAGCCUUUGGCCUCUGCAAUCGAAGAGACUGAGGUCUGCAGCGUAGACUCUUCGGGGUUAGAUACAUUUGUGCUAAGUUAUAGCUUUUUAUAGACAACUUGUUGACUAUAAUUAGUCUUGUAGCUUACUCGCUUAUGCUAUUUUACCUACGCUUAGGAUGUUGAGUCGUAGAGCACGCAG
rnacentral:rRNA from 1 species